rnacentral:tRNA from 1 species
CGGGGCGUGGCGCAGCUUGGCAGCGCGACUGCUUUGGGAGCAGUAGGUCCCGGGUUCGAGUCCCGGCGCCCCGACCA